AGACAGUGCGAGGGCAGACCAAGUGGCGGUUGGUCGACGCAACAGUUCUGGAGUGGUCAGGGACGUAUAGAUUUGUCGGUAAACUGGACGGAGCGAAGAUAAAACUGGAGUAUAAACCCGUUGGAGCUGGAAUGAGCCGAGAUAGACGCCAUGAUUAAAGUGUUUAGCCAGGUUGAACUUGUUUUACCCAUGGAAGGGAGUGAAAUAAGAUUAAACAGUUUGGUCAGGGUUGACUAAAGGAGUGAGAUGGACGUUAACCUGUUUUUCCAGCCACAAGGAGUAACUAAACAAUGGCUCGUCUUCUGUGAUCUAUUUCUCUGGGACGCCACGUGUUACAAAGGAUGGGCACAAUUUUUCUAUCAUUGUUCCAGUAUUCGAUUAAUGGACUCUAUGCAUGUCAAAUCACUUGCAUACUGAGCUGCAUACUGAGUAUUCGGCACAGUCACCACGACUAAACAGCGGAGACCUGCAGGUUAAAGCCUCCCUGUACUUGGAUGAUGUUACAGUUUUCUGUCAGUGUUUAGACUUACGAGCAUCUGUGACAAGUUUGAACUGGGCUCGGGUGCCAAGGUAAAUUGAGGCAAGAGGGAGGCCAUGUUCUUUGGAAACUGGGCCAACUGAUCCUUCAUUCCCUUCACCAUCAGGACAGAUUACCUGAAGAUGCUGGGGAAAAAGAUUUGGAGGGGCCAGGAUGUGCAUAAAAACUUGGGAGGAGCGCAUUGCUAAAGUGAAGCAGUAAAACUUGGUCAUCAGGUGCUCUCUGUUGUAUGUAGCACAGGUGUGGCCCCUUCCCCAAAACUGUGGUUUUUGUCAAGGUUCGUCCCAGCAGUUCUGUGUCACGGGACUCUGUGCUCUACGAUCUGUUCCCUGGGAUGCACACCGAACAAACAUCGACUGCGCCUGGAGGACCAUCAACUCAGUGAAAGACGCUCUUUGGUCUGCCCAAAACUUGCUGGUCUUCCAAUUGAAAGAGUUGACUCCAACUGAAUGUGGCAGACUGGCGCAUUCCACGGUCCAGGACUAUGUGCUGAUGGACACUUUAAAGCUUGGGGCAGCUGCAGCCAAGAUGCAGUGGGGAAAGACCACCGUGUAAGGUCUUUCUGCCAAAAUAUAACGAGGUCCAUCUAGCUAUCAGACCCUCCCGAUGCAUCAGAUAAAUGCCUAUCGUUAAAUUAUGAACUAUAAUUUAGUUUAACAAUGCUAAAUUCCAAUGUUUGUUUUCUUCUCUGUGAGCAAAGGUGACAUAGAUCUGAACAGCUUCAUUAACUGUGUAUGUACAUACAGAUUUCCUUCAAUGAAUAAAAUAUAUUUUUGCAAUAAAAAAGUUCUGGAAGAAAUCGGCGCAGUUGCCAUGACUGAAUAGCGCCGAAUAAUUCCCCAGUGAUAAACAGAAGGAACAGCAUCGAACAGAGGGUGGUAGAGAGACUCCACCAAGGAGCAUUCUGGGAGAAUCCUUAUUUAAUAGUUGAGAAUCAGGAAAGCUUCCCAAUCAAAUCUGUAGCCAGGCAGCUUGCCUUGUUUUGUGUGUGUUGUAUAGAGCCUUUUGCUGACUCCAAGGAAGAAUGUGAGUCUGAGAGGGGUUACUGUUCCAGGCAGCAGAGGCCUGCAGGUCAAGGCCUCCCUUUACAUGGAUAAUGUCGCCAUUUUCUGCUCGGAUCCGCUAUAAGUGCGCAGUUGCAAGCAUCUGCGACCAGUUCAAAGUGGUCUCAGGAUCCAAGGUAAAUCGAAGCAAGAACAAAACAAUGUUCUUUGAUAACUAGGUCAACUAAUCCUCUGUCCCCUUCACUGUAAGACGAAUACCUGAACAACAUGGGAAUAUGGUUCAGAGGGGACGGGGCAUACGCAAAAUAUUGGGAAUAGUGCAUCGUCAAAGUGAAGCAGAAACAUCUUUUUGGAGCACUGCUCCCUCUCCAUUGUGGGUAAAAACCUGGUCAUUAGGUGUGAUGCACUCUUUCUGUUGUUGUACACGGUGUAGAUCUGGCCCAGCCCCAAAACAACACAGUUUCGAUCAGCUGAGCCAUCUUCUACUUCAUUUGGAGGCCUAAGAUGAGCCGUUUCUGCAGGGACUCCAUGUACAGAGCUCUGGAGAAGUGGGAGAGGAAUGUACCCAACAUCACCCUCAUCCGCUACAUUUGUGUGCAGCUGCAUUAAGCUGUGUGUUGUUCCUCGGUAUGCAAACAUUGUGUGACUAUUGACUGAGGUUCUACCUGUUGCCGGUUUUGUGAAGGGUGGGACUGGCUUUGUUGCUGUGGAAUGCUCGAAGUAGUUGGACUAUUCUGUAUCAUCUGUCGUCUGGAGAAACUUGCAAAGAGAAACAGCUUUGACCACAAGUCCGGCAGGAAGUCGUCAGCACGUAGGAUCGAGAGACUCUUCAGGAAAAGGAGAGGGUGGAUCCCUGAGCAGACUGUCAAAGUCAUUUGAUAGAUCGCUUGGCUGGUGGUGAGAAGGCCACUACCUGUGAGAUGUUUCAUGUAUGCCCAGUUGGUUUGCACCACCGCACACUGCCCUCAAAGCGGCUGCAGGGGUGUUGAGAUUGUCACAGGAAAGGAAGUCUGGAGAAAGAUGCAGUGGUUUUCGUCAAGGCUCGUUCUGUGCAGCUCCAUGACACGGGACUCUGUACUGUAUGCUUGAUCCCCAGGAUGCACCUGAAACAAACAUCAACUGCGCCUGGGGGACCAUCAUCUCAGUGAAAAAUGCUCUUUGGUCUGCCCUAAACUUGUUGGUCUUCCAAAACAAAAAGUUGGCCUUGACUGAGUACUGCAGACUCGCAUGUCCCGAGGUCCACAACCACGUGAUAAUGGACAUACUAAAGCUUGGGGCAGCUGUUACCAAGCCGCAGUGGGAAAAGACCACAGUCUGAGGCCUUCCUGUUGAAGUUAAAUUGGGGUCCCUUCAGUUAUCAGACCCUCCUUGUGCCUCAAAUAUAUGUAAAUUAUAGUAUUGCGACUAUAAGAGAGGCCUUUGA